AGUCGAGCGGAAACGAUGAUAGCUUGCUAUCAGGCGUCGAGCGGCGGACGGGUGAGUAAUACUUAGGAAUCUACCUAGUAGUGGGGGAUAGCACGGGGAAACUCGUAUUAAUACCGCAUACGACCUACGGGAGAAAGGGGGCAGUUUACUGCUCUCGCUAUUAGAUGAGCCUAAGUCGGAUUAGCUAGAUGGUGGGGUAAAGGCCUACCAUGGCGACGAUCUGUAGCUGGUCUGAGAGGAUGAUCAGCCACACCGGGACUGAGACACGGCCCGGACUCCUACGGGAGGCAGCAGUGGGGAAUAUUGGACAAUGGGGGAAACCCUGAUCCAGCCAUGCCGCGUGUGUGAAGAAGGCCUUUUGGUUGUAAAGCACUUUAAGCAGUGAAGAAGACUCCGUGGUUAAUACCCACGGACGAUGACAUUAGCUGCAGAAUAAGCACCGGCUAACUCUGUGCCAGCAGCCGCGGUAAUACAGAGGGUGCAAGCGUUAAUCGGAAUUACUGGGCGUAAAGGGAGCGUAGGUGGCUCGAUAAGUCAGAUGUGAAAUCCCCGGGCUCAACCUGGGAACUGCAUCUGAUACUGUUGAGCUAGAGUAUGUGAGAGGAAGGUAGAAUUCCAGGUGUAGCGGUGAAAUGCGUAGAGAUCUGGAGGAAUACCGAUGGCGAAGGCAGCCUUCUGGCAUAAUACUGACACUGAGGCUCGAAAGCGUGGGUAGCAAACAGGAUUAGAUACCCUGGUAGUCCACGCCGUAAACGAUGUCUACUAGUCGUUGGGUCCCUUGAGGACUUAGUGACGCAGCUAACGCAAUAAGUAGACCGCCUGGGGAGUACGGCCGCAAGGUUAAAACUCAAAUGAAUUGACGGGGGCCCGCACAAGCGGUGGAGCAUGUGGUUUAAUUCGAUGCAACGCGAAGAACCUUACCUGGUCUUGACAUAUCUAGAAUCCUGCAGAGAUGCGGGAGUGCCUUCGGGAAUUAGAAUACAGGUGCUGCAUGGCUGUCGUCAGCUCGUGUCGUGAGAUGUUGGGUUAAGUCCCGCAACGAGCGCAACCCUUGUCCUUAGUUACCAGCGGGUUAAGCCGGGAACUCUAAGGAUACUGCCAGUGACAAACUGGAGGAAGGCGGGGACGACGUCAAGUCAUCAUGGCCCUUACGACCAGGGCUACACACGUGCUACAAUGGUAGGUACAGAGGGCAGCUACACAGCGAUGUGAUGCGAAUCUCAAAAAGCCUAUCGUAGUCCAGAUUGGAGUCUGCAACUCGACUCCAUGAAGUAGGAAUCGCUAGUAAUCGCGGAUCAGAAUGCCGCGGUGAAUACGUUCCCGGGCCUUGUACACACCGCCCGUCACACCAUGGGAGUUGAUUGCACCAGAAGUGGAUAGCUUAACCUUCGGGGAGGCGU
rnacentral:rRNA from 1 species